rnacentral:rRNA from 1 species
UUCGGGUUGUAAAGCACUUUCAGUAGGGAGGAAGGUAGUGUAGUUAACACCUGCAUUAUUUGACGUUACCUACAGAAGAAGCACCGGCUAACUCCGUGCCAGCAGCCGCGGUAAUACGGAGGGUGCGAGCGUUAAUCGGAAUUACUGGGCGUAAAGCGCAUGCAGGCGGCCUGUUAAGUCAGAUGUGAAAGCCCGGGGCUUAACCUCGGAAUUGCAUUUGAAACUGGCAGGCUAGAGUCUUGUAGGAGGGGGUAGAAUUUCAGGUGUAGCGGUGAAAUGCGUAGAGAUCUGAAGGAAUACCAGUGGCGAAGGCCGGCCCCCCUGGACAAAGACUGACGCUCAGAUGACGAAAGCGGUGGGGAGACAAACAGGAUUAGACUACCCUGGUAG